CAGAGGAAGCCAGGGGGGCCUGCCAAGACAAUGGUGUAGAACCGUAGUCCUAUGUUUCUCUCCAAGACAAAUUACAGCCUUGGGGAGAAAGUUCUGAAAACCUAGAAGAGGAAUUAAUUGGGAGUUCCAGGAAGAAAAGAACCAUUCUCUUCUAAGCAAUGGAUGAACAGUAUAGUAAAGGAGUUGUGAAAAAAAUGCAUCUCAAGGUGGGCAUUGUUUCCUUACUUCUCGGGAUGACAAGUCAUAGGACUUUCGAGUAUGCAGAUGUGGCAGGUGAAUAGACUCUUCCUCUAGCAUGGCCUUUGACCUUGCAGUAAGUCUGAUACGGAGGCAUGUUUUCUAACUCUCACAUCUAAGCCAACCGCAGAAGCUAACCAGGCCAAGAGAACAGAGAGGAGAGAGCCACAGGCUUGGCUCUGCCUGCUUGCUUCGUCCUUGUUCAGCAAGGCACUUGCUAGAGAAACCCCUUUCUCAGCUUUUUUCCAUGGUAAAUGACUGCCACAAUGUGAUCUCAUCUCAGUGAAAGGAAGAAACAAAGUUACCGUGAGCGGUUUUAUUCCCCAGCACGGUUCAGAUACAAAGUAAGCAUCGUCUGAUGUGGAAUUAGGUCAGCCCUUCCCAUAAGCUCCAUAGGGAAAGUAAAUGAGUAACAACCUUUUUAGUCACUCUUCUACCCAUCUGGCUCCCCUCCCCCUUCCUCUCCUUUCUACCUCUUCCUUCCUCCCCUUUCCUUUCCCCUUCCCUUUCUUUCCUUCACAAACAAUUCCAAUCCAAACAUCCAUUCAGACAUCGCAUAAGCAAGGUCUUUGUCCUCUGGGUGGUUGGAGUUCCAGAGGGCAGAAAUGUCUAGAAUCAGGUGCUGCAGUGUAAACCCCUAAAGAGCCCUUAUCCAGGAGAAUGUUUGAGCCUGAGUCAGGAAAGCAAAACACACUUCACCCCCACACAACCACCACCCCUAGAGGUGCAGCCUGGUGCGAGGUGACUGGUUGGUUAAGGAGGGUCAAGAGAAACAGUCUCUGGUAAUCUUCCUUCUGGAAGAGGCUAGAGAGAGGGACUGAAGCUCUGCCCAUUCUACUCUUUCCGCUGUAGAACUCUGAAGCAUUUGAGAACUAUUACUCAAGAGCUAUCAUUCGAGUUUAGGAAGCUAUGUGGGUUAAGGUAAAAGGAACAUUCUGUUCUUAAUUUUAUUGAAAAGUUUGUUAGCUUGCUUUGUAAACCCAUACUAUGUGGGCGUUUCUUCUCUUUUAGGGUCCUGGGGUCUCUUGUUUUCCACUUUAUUCUUCCAAAAAAGAGAGAAAAGGCAGAGAGUUGUGUGCUGCUGCUCACGCCUGUAAAUUCCAUACUUGGGAGUGGGAGGCAGGAGGAAUCUGAGUUCAAAACAAGCCUAAGCUGCAUUACGAGACCUUGUCUAAAUUAAAUAGCUCCUGGGCUCUUCACCCCAUAGCUAUGAAUCGCGGACGAGUGUUUUAUAAAGCAGUUGGCAGGGAAUAAUUCAGGUGUAGGAGAAACAUGUGCUAGGCAGUCCUUUGAGAGCCACAUGUCACAAGUAGAGAAAGCCAGACCUGUGUAAUGUGACAUCCUGCCCACAUAGUGCCCCUGCCUUUGCUCUGUGUAAACUGUCUCUCACUGCUCCUCAGGGUCCGAUCAUCCAUGAGACUGAAUCUACCCUAAUAAAAGACAAAGCCAAGCCUCAAAGUCAACUUAUUCAAAGCUCAUCUUUUCAAAAUGGCUACAGUUUGUAUUUUUCUGAAAACUGAAUUUAAAGCCACGCUUUUCGCCUUCUCUUCCUCCUUCUCUUCUUCCGUUCUCCUCUCAUUUAUAGAGCACGGUUCUCAGAUAGAGUUAAUAAGACUGUGUGCGUGCAUGCAUGCGUGCCUGCGUGCCUGCCUGCGUGCGUGCGUGGCAUGGGGUGAGAUUCUACUAAGAGGUUGCUCUAGAGAGAAACCAGGCUAGUUUAUGCACUUAGUUUUUGUUUUGUUUUGCUUUUGCUUGUCAAAUCCAUCUCCAAGAAAGCUUGCAAGUUCAGAUAAAACCAAAUUCAAAAGGAGAGCGAUGAAAGGGUUUUUAUUUGACUUUUUGGAGCAAAGUUGAGGGAAAGUGUCCAUAGACUUCAGUUUAAAUUGAGAGACAGGCAGGGGAGAAAGGAGGUGAGAGCAGAAAGAAGGAUGGAGACAGAAAAAGAGGGGGUAAGAAAUGUUAGUGCACACCCAGGCAAUGAGUGUGAGCGACCCUCUCUAGAGAGCAAGACACCAGAAUCUUAAAAUAUGAACCAUGACUGGUGAGAUGGCUCAGUGGGUAGAGCUGCUUGCUGCCUCGCCUGGAGAUCUAUCUGAGUUUGAUUCCUGGACCCCACAUGAUGGGAAGAAAGAAUUCCUGAAAAUUGUCCUCAGAUUAUCCCAUUCAACCUGUGGCAUGGGCUCUCUGGAACACACACACACACACACACACACACACACACACACACACACACACAGAGGGGUGGGGAGGGAGAGGGAGAGAGGGACAGAGUGUAAAAAUCAAAGAGAAAACAAGCAAACAACAAAAAUCAGGUGAGGAGGGACUCAAUAAUUAUUACAUUUUUAAAAUGCUCAGAAGAUCAAAUGUUUCAGAGUGGGAAGGGCCCAAUGAGUGUCCUUGACAAUUCGAUAAGAUACUUGGAAAAACUGAAACCAGCAUAUCUUAAAAAAAAAAAACAAAAAACAAAAAACGAAACAGUUUCUCCCGUGACUAAGACAUGACUCUUCAAAACAACAAAGUAAAUGAGUAAGAAAGAACCCAGGGAUGGAGGAUCCACACUCAGAAAGAAAAACGGAAUCACUACACAGGGUCUACGGGAUAGACUCAGAGGGGAGCUGUCUUGGUCAGAGCCGGUGAAGGGGCCACAGGAGAGACUGCUUCACACAGGCCCCCCCAUGCUGCCGAAUGUGUAACGUGUAACAAUGUGUAACCUGUAACAAUGUGUAACGUGUAACAAUGUGUAACUUGGAGGUAAAGACAAAGAGGCAGAAGGGGUUGAGUAUCAGUGAUGAAGUAUGUGGAAAAGCAGGAGGGGGGAAAAAAGCAGUGCUCCUGUCCAGAAAAAAAAGAUAGUUGUGCAAUAAUGAAGCCACCGUGUGAAUGAUAUUUACACAGUCACUGUAGUACAAAUACCAGUUACUGAUUUACAUAAAAUUAUGACACACUCUAUUGAGAGGAUGGAGAAAAUGAAGGGUGCAGGUUCCUUCCCGAAGGCUUGAGCGGAUGAUGGUCAGCACGGUGGUGGUUGUUUUAAAAUUAUGUUUCAGUCUUCCAAGGUGUGAGGUCGUAGACAGAAUUCUUCAGUGAUAGAAGCAUGUAUUUAGGGGUUGAGGUCAGUGGUAGAGCGCUUGCCUAGCGAGCACAAGGCCCUGGGUUCGGUCCCCAGCUCUGAAAAAAAGAAAAAAAGAAAAAGAGAAAAAAAAAAAGAAGCAUGCAUUUAGGAAUACAGAAAGGAGUGCUGGAGAGUCAGCUCAAAAUGAUUUCAAGGUGUUCUUCUGAGGAACAAAACGGGGAGGAAAGUGGGGUGCUUCUAUGUCCAAAACAAGCCUAAUGAAACUAUUUCACCUUCAAAGUUAUAUACAGGUUUAACUUGGCCAUAGCCCAAGAGCAGAUAUAUCUGGAUGUUUUGCAAAUCUGUAGAGUGCUUACCUAGUAUGCACAGAGCCUGAGGUUUGAUCCCUGACUGAAUAAAACCUAGGAUGGAAACAGAUGUCUGUAAUCCCAACACUCAGAAGGUGGAGGAAGUUCAGGGCCAGCCUGGGCUAUGUAAAACUGUAUCUCAAGAAAAAGAACUGGAAGGAACUUUUUUGUUCUUUUCUCCUAAUGUGAGCCAGCCGGCCUGGAAGUUGCCUUUAAACUCUCUGAAUCCCUCUGCCUCUGCCUUCUGAGAGCUAACAUCAAAGGUUUGCACCAUCUUGGCUGCCAAGAGACUUUUAAGGUGAACAAAGUCCACUAGAAACCCAUCCCUCAAGCUCUCAAUCCCCCAACCUCCACCACCGACUCUCUCUAUCAGGCCUCCCACAGCCAGGGCAGUGUUGAACUUUUUAAAAUAGUGAAACAUUCACAUAACACGCAAUGCAUUUUAUCAAAUGUAGCCUUUAACUCUCCAUCCUUCUGCCUUAGUCUCCUGAGUUUACGGUUGUGUGACACUCUGUGUGGAAUCUCCCAAAUCUUCACAUUUCUUCAACUCCCACCCAUCCACAGUGGCUACACCCUAGCACCCACACCAGGGGACCAUAGGACACAGGACUGCGUGACUCUGGGACCUGUGUUUCCAGGAUUAUUGCAGAAGGCUUCAUCACCAGCUGUACUUCUUUGUCACUUGAUGCUUUCUCCCUGGGGCCACAAGUAUCAAAACUAGGUGGAUUCCAUCCUCUUUUGCCUUCUCAACUCCAAGUCCUUGACUUUCUCCCAGGUUCCUUCCUCUGGGAACUCCAUCUCACAAGGACCUUAUCUGCCCGCCUAAAGUGGGACUCACAGCAGCCAAGGCAUUAACACUCGGACAGACGGAUGAUGGGUUCUUAGCCCUCCAUCUCCUUCCAGUUCCUUCUGUUAAUGCAGGGAGGGCCAUGAGUAACCCCGAGCUCCAGGCCAGCCUGGUCUACAUAGCGACUUCCAGGUUUGCCAAAUCUACAGUUUUUAUUUCAAAAACAAGUUGGGGAGUGGGGCAACCCCGAGAAAGGGAGUUGGCUAGUGAGCUGAGGGAAAGCAUGGACUCAGAAAGCUUCAGGCCACAGUACUCGUGACUCCUCGAAGGAUAUUUACCCAGCACUCUACUUCAGCAUGCUCUGUUUGCUGUAUGAAGUACAGGUAAGAAUGGCUUCUUGCAGUCUUUCUGUCAAUUGGCAUGUGCCCUAGGCCCUGGGUUUUCAUAUUCUUUACAAUAAGAAUCCAUUAGUCUUGCCCAAUCUUCCCCUCUCUCUCCCCCUCUACAUAGCCCUGUAGCCCUGACUGUCCUGGAACUCACUACGGAGAUCUGACUGGUCCACAAUUCAGAGUCUCCUGCCUCUGCCUCCCAAGUGCUGGGAUUAAAAGCAUUACAUCACCACACCCAGCUCUUACCUGUAUUUUCAAGCCAUCUUUUAUUCAUGCAGGGUUUCCGCAAUGUGGUGUUUUUGGUUCACUGGGUUAGGAAAAUGCUCCAAAAAUAUUAGCGUAUUUCAUUUUACAAGAUUAAAAAAAUGUUCAUUAACAUCACCACUGAUUUUAUCAGACAAGCCUUAAAUUAUUGGGAAGCUGUCAAACUGUGCCAUAUGCAAGGUUCCCAAACGUCUAAUAGUUGCCUCAAGAAUUAUUAUGCCAUUGUCAUACAUUGUUUCCUUGAAAUAAUAGCUUUACCUUACCAAUAUCUGAGAAAGUCUGCCCAAUACUGAAGUGAUUAACAAUAGAUUGAUCAUCACACUUUGAAAUAAAAAAUAAAGAGCCAGUGUGGUGGCACCCACCCUUAAUCCCAGAAUUUAGGAGGCAGAGGCUGGCGAAUCUCUGAGUUCGAGGCCAGCUUGGUCUCCAUCGAGUGUCUUAAAAAAUAAAAUAAAGUUCCACGUAAAAAAAGUUAAUUCGUUUCAUAAAAUUAGCAGGAGUGCGGCUCCUGGAAACACUUAGACUAAGCUCCGAGACUCAUCUCCAUGCCCCCCACCCCACGCAGAUAACUGAGUGCAGUUAAUUCUGCUCUGAAAGAUCUCAGAUGUCCUUUGACAUUCCCACUAACACUGUUAAUAAAUGAAAAUCCCACUCGCUCACAGGAGUUGUAACAAAGCCUGGCUCUGACCUUCCAGCCCUAAUCUAGUCCUCUCUGCCCUGCCCUGGCCACCACAGUUAAGUUUCUGAAACAUAGAUUUUCCUGUCGGGCUGGAGUACAUCUCAUGACUCCUUAUCACCGAGCAAUCUAGACUCUGUGUGCCUGCCUGGCAUUCACAGCCUCCCCUGCACAUUCUCCUCUCCACACCCCUUCAGGCCCAGUGACACCAGCCUGAACCGUUUCUAAUCGCUUUGCUUUGUUCUCUGUACCAUUUUCCUUUAUGGCGACAUACUGUGGGGUCUUUCUUUGAAUGGGAGCUCUGCCUCUUACGUGAGAGAUACCUACAGGAAGCAGUAAGAUCCCGCCCUGCUUAGCCAGGUCCCUCUACGAAAGAGGCAGUUGGGGACAGGAGCCCAUACCCAAGGUCGCACGUGGGGCAGGGCUGGCUGUGUAGGGCCCACAACUCCGAGCUCCAUCUCGUCAAAGAGGGAGACUUAUAGAGGGGAGGGGGAGUUAGAUCUCCAGGAAACUCUCCAUCAACGCCACCUGGGAUGAUGUCUGCGAGGUGCGCGCGCAUCCCCUGCUCCAGCAGAGCCAGGAGAGGGAAGAGGGCGGCGGGGAGAGGGAGGUGGGGGCUGGAGGGGGGGCAAAAGAUGCUCCACAGCCGCCCCUUCCCCUCCCCCCUUUUUCCCCCCCGCAGCUAGGAGGCUGCAGGGGCGGCGCCUCCUGAUUGGAGCCGGCACCCGCAGAGCCACAGCGCGGCUGCUGAUUGGCUACGAGAGGGUGUUGACAGCCUGCUCUACUGGAGAAAAGACAAGGCUGGAUACUAGAGGCGGUUUCUUCACCUUCUGCCCCAGGAGCAAGAGGAAUUCAGAAGAUCUGUGGGGGACUUUGGAAUAAAUGAGGAGAAAAGGACCAGAUGGCGGUGUGCAUGGAUACCCAAGGGGGACAGUCAUUGGUAGUGGGGCUAUAAAACGGUGCAGCCCCUGUGAAAGACAGUUCGAUGUCCCACAAGAAUAAAGGUUACCGUAGGAGCAAUGAAAUCCGCUCCUGGUUACACAUAGAGGAUACUGAGAACCGGUUCUUAAAUAUUUGCAAAGAAAUACUUGUAGCAACACAUUUCACACUUACUGAAAGGUGUACACCAACAAAAGGUACACUACAGCCCACCAUCGAUCAGCAGAUCAAUGGGAAUGGGCUCUUGAUAGACAUCACGAAAUGAAUGGACAAAAAGUCAUGCGGCUGCGUGACUCUGUUCCUGGGAAAGACCACCAAUAGGCAAAUCCUAGAGACAGAGCGUUAAUUGUUGCCAGGCGUAAGGGAGCUGGGAGGAGCUGGAGUUGGGGGGAAAACCACUCUUGAAUGAGAAUGGGUUUUCCGUGGAGGUGAUUUAAAAUGGUUUAGAACCAAGGGUAACAAUGGCACAUUAUUAUGACUGUACUAAAUGUCACAGCAGCGUUUGACUUAACGGCUAAUUUUAUGCUGUGAAAAGCCCUUCAGUGUAAGUGUGUGUAUGUGUCAGAAAUCACAGACUCUAGAAGAAUCCUGCUGCUCUUCAAGUGUUUCUAAAAAAAUGAGGAGGGUAUGGAGCCCUGAGGAGUUCUGGGUCCCCCUCUGCCUUUCGCCUUCGUCUCUCUCCUCUCUUCUCCUGGUUGACAGGUCUUAUAGCCGGGGACUGGUUACCGGCCCAUCCCUGUGAGAGAAAACUGGAACCGAGUAUGUAGCUCAGGGGUGGAGCCCUUGCCUAGAAUAGCAAAGGUCCUUGCUUCAGUCUCUGCUCUCUCCCCUGCUCCCCAGAAGGAGAAAGCUGGCCUUGAGAAGCAAGCAUUUCAAAGGAUACCAGACUUGGGCUGGAAAAGCAGAGAUGGAGUUCCUGCUUUUUCUGAUAUCAGGGUAUGGCCUAAACCUUAGGCGUGACUGGAUAUUAAGAUGGUCCUGUGGUCAGACUGAGUGGGGUUCCUGAAGAACAAAAGGAGCUUGUGCAGGAAUGAUUGUGUGAAUUCCGCCUCCCACCAUUCCCAGGCAGGAAGUAGGGCUGCUCCACUGGCUUCCUUUCUUGGUGUAACUGAGCACAACAGGCAGUUAAUGGGUGUAACAAGAUGCUCACUCCUCCACACAAGGAGGCAAAGCCGGGAUUCUGGAGACACACUACUCUCUUGCUGUCUUUCUCCAGGGGAACUCACCUACAUGGUGAACUAAAGUCAGUCAGUGACAGUAUCUGCUGCUGAUACAGCGGUGUCUCCUCUAGCUUGCCAUGUGUCAUCGGACUGGGCAAGUGUCAUUGAUGCAUCAUGGUGUCCUCCACCUGCUCAGAACAUACAUCUCCGAGUCUAAAGAAAGUUGUAUUUAGAACCGUGCCUUGCCCUGCACCUCCUUUGCCAGUGAAACGCAUUCUCUGGAUUUCCCAUCAGUUUCUCCAGUUAAAGCAGCUGCCUUUGGCAUAUUGUUAGUCUUUUUCUCCUUUGACCUUGAGAUGGUGGGCCCCACGAUACUGGGGUUUAGAGUACAGAGUGCUUCCUUUAACCAAAGCCACGGGUUUUGUCAGUACUUUCUUAAUGUAUUCGAUAUUGAAUUAACAACAACAAAAUACAUAGAGUGCGCUGGUUUGUUUCAGAUAGUUUAAUUAGAACUGUUUCGUCUGUGAGUGUGUGCAUGUGUGUGUGUGUGUGUGCGCGCGCGCGCGCGCGCGUGUGGACAAGAGCGUGCUCACACGCAUAGUUAGAAAGCCAGGUCUUAAAUGCUAAAGUAAACGUCACCAUCAAAUUACACCUCAGUGUGUUCAGCCUUUGAUGAGAUGACGGUUGUUUGGGAUCCACCUUCAGAAUAGUUCCGAGCCGUGAUCUCAUCCAGAGUGAGGCCAACCUCCAAUUAGAAAGUGAAGCGAGCGGGCACAGCUUGUUCCAACAGCUCUUGGAAGGCAAGAUGCGGGCCUGGAAGCCCGUGCAGGAAUACAGAGGUUCCACGACUGUAAAGUCUGCCUGCGCUGGCUCGAGUAGACAAUGCAAAAAAACAAAUCAAAAGGGAACAAAACCUACCUUUCCCUGCUGCGGCCAGGGAGUACUGCCUAGUCUAGGAGCCUGGAGCCCAUUACUGAUCUGCUUCCUUCUCUCCUAAGGUCAACAGGCAACAGCAUUUUAGGGGGUUCUUUGUUUCUUGGGGGCAGGCACUCUUGUAUGCAGGAAUUGACUCCCAGACCUGGGCUCUUAGGUAAGAACUCUCCUAGGCAGAUGUCCUGCUUGUGGCUCUCAGCCUCUCCCAGGAUCUCCACAUGGAGUCUUUGUGAUCCUAUGAUUCAUGGAGUCCUAAUGUUUCCUCAGGCAGUGCUGUCAGCUUGUGGAGUUUUUGAUUUAAAGCCAGCAGACUCUGUUUCCUGCUGUCAGAGUUUAACCCCACAUUACUCUUAGGAAGGGUAGGCUACUGGGGUGUGUGUGACUCAGCCUUUGAAGAUUCUGCUUCCUUUUGAUAUUUAAAGGUGCAGGACUUGGAUAGAGUGGUGGGCCAGAAGCAGGUCCCGGGAGACUAUAUCCAAGCCCCAAAGCUUCCCUAACAGUGUAGUCUGGUCAGUAGUGCAGCCUGCCACUUUUAACCCCAGCACUCGGGAGGCAGAGCCAUGCGUUCGAGGCCAGCCUGGUCUAUGGAGUGAGUUCCAGGACAGCUAGGGCUACACUAGAAAAACCCUGCCUGGAAAAACCCAAAGAAGGAAAUAAAGAAAAUAAGGAAGAAAGAAGGAAAGCAAGCAAGCACAAACAUCAGUAAAACUAGCUUUAGAAAUGCCAGCAAAGGAAAGGCUGGCAAACUUGUUCAUAUGCCCCACUGACUCAUUUGAGUUAUAAACCAGAGACUAUAAUUGGGAUAAUAGAAAACUCAGGGAAAGGCCUUGGUCAUCUUUCAUGACUCUUUUUGUUCAAUAUAUCACUCUCAGCAGUCAGUUGCGUCAUGAAACUCACUCUGGCAUGCGUUGUUGACCCCCUAUCGAUUUACUUCAGUAUCUCAAGUGCCAACUUUACAGGUGUGUCCCACCAUGCCCAGCUGGGCGGUCUUUCAACGAAUGUUUUACCGAUGAUGCGUCACAGAGAAACUGGGGCUCACGAAAGGACCCAGCCUCAAACUCCUUUCAUCAGCACGCCCAGUCACUCACUCAGCAAGUUCUCAAUCCCUGGACGCCUUUGUUCAAAAAACAAGAAACAGCCCGCAGACCUUGUUUCUUUUGUUUCUCUCUUUGGUAUUUCCAAGACAGGGUUUCUUUGUGUAGCCCUGGCUGUCCUGGAAAGACCCAGUUUCUUAUCUUAAUUGUUCCAUAUCCUCCCCAGUAAUAGAAAGAAUGGGUAACCCAGCUCAUUCUGUUUUCAUCCAAGUUUCUUCAGCAUCCCCUCUCAGAGAUAAAUGUGUGGGAACAUUUCAGGACCCAGUCAAAUAUAUCAUUCUGUUAAUCCCAAAGAUGUGAGGAGGACCCCUGACCCAAAUUAUCAUGGCAAAGUUAAUUCAGGCAAGCAAUUAAUUAAAGCAACCUUUCUUAUUUGUGUACAUGGGCUGCUUUCCACCUAAGACAGGGUUGGAGAGCUCAGCCUUGGAGGGGAGGAAGACAAGGUUUUUAUAGCUCAGGGAUAGGAAGGCAGUUCCAGGACAGCCAGGGCUACACUAGAAAAACUCUGCCUGGAAAAACCAGUUUCCAAGUGGGGAAAUUGGUGGGCAAAAUAGUUGGGGUUACAGAAGUAGAACAAGCAUAACAAUACUUAGUCCUAAAGCCCUCCUGAAACAUAGACACAGUUGCGAGGUAGUCAUAACAACAGGCAGUCAGGACAAGGUAGUCAUAGCAACGGACAGUCAGAGCAAGGAAGUCAUAGCAACAGUCAGUCAGAGUAAGGUAGUCAUAGCAACAGACAGUCACAACCAGGUAGUCAUAGGUGGUCAUACAACCUUUUGAAACAAAGGUAGGGUUGCAAGAGGGUUAUUAAAUUUUUGAAACUUGUGAAAUCAAAAGGCGUGACUGCCAUCCCUAGAACAGUCAGUACAGAACUGUUUGCAGUUAUGGUUACAGGCAGGGCACAGCCCAAUCCUUGAGAAACAGAGGUUUAAAACAGGAAUGAACCUAGCCUUGUCUUCACUAUAAGGUAUUUUUCAAGCCAAAAAUAGAGGCAGGCUGGUUCUUCAACUCACCUUAAAUUUUGGGUUGCUCCAACACUACCUAGUAAAAAGCUCCCCCCCUCCCCUUUUAAGACAGGGUCUCACUAUGUUAGGCCUGUCUGGUCUACAGUUUGCUGUGGAGACCAGGCUAGUUCCAAACUUACAUACAUUCACCCACCUCUGCCUCCUGGGGACUCUCAUUCAAAGCAUGAGCCACUGAACUUGGCUUGCUAAAUCUUUUCAGAUGCCUGGAAAUGUUAUCGAUUGGUUAUUACUGUGAGAGCAGCAACCAAUACCAUGAGUAGAGAAAUGAAAAGGUGCUGGACGAAUCGUCAAAACUCUGUUUCAGACAGUUCUGGACUCACCCAACCUGCAGGCUUCUGCUCCGUCAAACAAGAAAUCCACUUGCUGUUAAUGGGGAAUAGGGACCUUGCCCACAGAGACCACAUUCUCUACUAAGGAAAUGCUUUUUCUUCAUCCACUGUGUAGGUGAGAUGGAAACUUGGUGUUGUGCCUGAGCACCCUACCCCCACCCCCCCUAUCUCCACACUCUCGGGAGGGAAAGAAGGCUGUGUGGAGAGACUGUGAAAGCCGUUGCUAGUGGCUUAUUCCAGCUCCAAGCCAAUGUUGUAUAUGAAUUCUACCCUGUAGGCUAGCUCUAACCCCUCAUUCACCUGCUUUAUAAGUUUUCUGCCUACUAAAGAUCUCUUCUCUUUCUGCAGAGCAAACUGUGGGCUCUAGAAAAUCAACUGGGCCUUCUCCAGAGAUGGCCCCAGGCUCGAGACAACUCAAGGGACGAGUUACCAGGUUACCAGGAGAGACCUUUGCUUUUGAACUGCAGAAAGCUUUCUAGGUUUUGAAAAGUGGUGACAAGGAGCUGCAGUGAGGGAAAGGGUAGACGAGGGUGGCAGAAAGGGAAACAAAGAGGGCGGAAAUGGAAGACAGAGAAGGGAGGAAGAUCUGUGUGAGCAUCAGAAAGGUCGGCGUGACCUUCCGGUACUGAGCCUUUCUUUUCUUUUCUGAACCGGAGCAGGGUAAGCCAGUCAUCUUUAGCAUCCUGGAACAGUAAGCUUCUGACCACAUAAUUUUUGGAAUGGGGACCAAGAUGACUCUAAACUCAGCCCUUCUUGUAGCCUCCAUCUCUGGUUCUUUUAAUCCUUGCUAAGAUGGGAGGCUUUGCACACCCUUCUGUUCAUUAGCUAGGCCAAGGGCAACCAUGCUGUCUCAGUCGGUGAAGAACGUGGUGAAGUUGAUGUGCCAGCGGUACUCACUGACAGAGUAGUCAUAGGGGAAGGCGUGCUGGUAGCUGUGGAAGCCCUCGCCUGCAACAGAAGCGAGGAGAGCGGUUAGGGCGCUCAGCGAUUGCUGCUUGUUGCUGUUUUGCACAUGUCUACCCUAUCACGUACCCCAAACCAUGGGAAAUCCUGAUGUUGGUGAGUGAAUGGAUAGACACAGUAUUUUCCACUCUAAGGUAAUAAGUUGCUAUCCUAAGACCCUUACACAGGGUUUCCAGAAACCCUGGUCACCAUGGUCUUACGAGAAGAAAGUUUCUAUCAAGUGCAAAGGUGUAAAGAAGAGUUUGGUUCUCCUAGGAAAAGCCAUAACACUGGCAGAAUGGAAUUAUGGGUAUAACUCAGAGAUUGGCCAGCUUCUGCCUCCCAAGGAGGUGUGUACCACCGAUGCCCAGUUUAGGGUCUGGUUCUUACAAAAACGAGUAAGAAACACAUCUUUUUGCACAACACUAGUGAGUGUUCCCCAUAAGGAUAAGAAGUUCCAAGAGAAUACAGUAUCAGCAAGGAGUUAGAUGAACAGAGGUCUGGCCAGAAGAUUCCCUUCAGCCACUACUGGUUCACAAUGGACUGCUCUGACCCUUUAAUAGGGGGAAGGGGAUCCAUGUGUGCUAUGGAUGUGACACAAGUGAUCUACUGUGCAUGGAGCCCUGGGUUCCAUACCUAGCGUAGUAUAAAAUGGUCAUUGUCCACACCUCUAAUCCAAGCACACAGGAGGUAGAGGCAAAAAGCCCAGCUCUGGGUGGCCUUCAGGUACAUAGUUGAGUUAGAAGCCAGCCUGGAGUACAGAAGAGCCUGUCACCAAAAGCAGAACAAUCACACACCUAGAACCACUCUCAUGAGUCUCAGAAAUUCCCACUGGCCUCCACAGUUCAAAGUGAGCUUUUCUCUCUGACCGAAAGGUAAACAAAGUUGUUCUUGACCCAGCACAGUUGGCUAAAUGUGGAAGCUUCACGCUAGUUUGCCAGUUCUUGGCAGUAUUCCUCUUCCUGAACCUACUCCAACGCCAACAAUGCUCGGUGCUCAUCAGGGUUAGGGUAAUGGACAGGUAAGAAGAGUAGGUAGUUGAAGAAAAACACCCCCAGCUAGAGUGGCAAACAUAAAUCAAUACGGAAGAGAAAGAAGUCUUACCAAGGAAACGACUCUAGCCAGGACUUCUCAAGGUUUCAGCACCUGGUUUUCCAUAAUCCGUGCUGUGUGAUGUAAGAACAUGCAAAAUGGGGGAAGGUGCCAGGAACUAGAAGGGAGAGUCAUUAGACAUGAUGGAAAUUCUUUCAGAGUGGCAUGCUUGAAGUACGUCAUAAUUAUUUCUCCAAUACUCUAUAAAGCAUAGACCAGUAUGACACGCUACGGCUGACUCUACGUUUCUAUUUAUUCACCUCCUUUCCAAAACAAAGCAGCAUCUCACAUGACCAGAGAAAGGCAAAUUAAAG